rnacentral:rRNA from 1 species
UGGGGAAUUUUGGACAAUGGGCGCAAGCCUGAUCCAGCAAUGCCGCGUGUGUGAAGAAGGCCUUCGGGUUGUAAAGCACUUUUGUCCGGAAAGAAAUCCGUCUGGCUAAUACCCGGACGGGAUGACGGUACCGGAAGAAUAAGCACCGGCUAACUACGUGCCAGCAGCCGCGGUAAUACGUAGGGUGCGAGCGUUAAUCGGAAUUACUGGGCGUAAAGCGUGCGCAGGCGGCUUUGUAAGACAGAUGUGAAAUCCCCGGGCUCAACCUGGGAACUGCAUUUGUGACUGCAAGGCUAGAGUGCGUCAGAGGGAGGUGGAAUUCCGCGUGUAGCAGUGAAAUGCGUAGAUAUGCGGAGGAACACCGAUGGCGAAGGCAAUCCCCUGAGCCUGCACUGACGCUCAUGCACGAAAGCGUGGGGAGCAAACA